rnacentral:rRNA from 1 species
ACAGUGGACGCGAGCAUCUGUGGCCAAGUUUUUAAGGGCGCACGGUGGAUGCCUUGGCACCAGGAACCGAUGAAGGACGUGGGAGGCCACGAUAGUCCCCGGGGAGUCGUCAACCAGACUUUGAUCCGGGGGUUUCCGAAUGGGGAAACCCGGCAGUCGUCAUGGGCUGUCACCCGCUGCUGAACACAUAGGCAGUGUGGAGGGAACGCGGGGAAGUGAAACAUCUCAGUACCCGCAGGAAGAGAAAACAACCGUGAUUCCGGGAGUAGUGGCGAGCGAAACCGGAUGAGGCCAAACCGUAUACGUGUGAGACCCGGCAGGGGUUGCGUGUGCGGGGUUGUGGGAUCUCUCUUCCACGGUCUGCCGGCCGUGGGACGAGUCAGAAACCGUUGAUGUAGGCGAAGGACAUGCGAAAGGUCCGGCGUAGAGGGUAAGACCCCCGUAGUCGAAACAUCAGCGGCUCGUUUGAGAGACACCCAAGUAGCACGGGGCCCGAGAAAUCCCGUGUGAAUCUGGCGGGACCACCCGCUAAGCCUAAAUAUUCCCUGGUGACCGAUAGCGGAUAGUACCGUGAGGGAAUGGUGAAAAGUACCGCGGGAGCGGAGUGAAAUAGUACCUGAAACCGUGUGCCUACAAGCCGUGGGAGCGUCGGACAUCAAGCUUGCUUGGUGUCUCGUGACUGCGUGCCUUUUGAAGAAUGAGCCUGCGAGUUUGCGGUGUGUUGCGAGGUUAACCCGGGUGGGGAAGCCGUAGCGAAAGCGAGUCCGAACAGGGCGGUUCAGUAGCACGCUCAAGACCCGAAGCGGAGUGAUCUAGCCAUGGGCAGGUUGAAGCGGCUGUAAGAGGUCGUGGAGGACCGAACCCACCAGGGUUGAAAACCUGGGGGAUGACCUGUGGUUAGGGGUGAAAGGCCAAUCAAACUCCGUGAUAGCUGGUUCUCCCCGAAAUGCAUUUAGGUGCAGCGUCGUGUGUUUCUUGCCGGAGGUAGAGCACUGGAUAGGCGAUGGGCCCUACCGGGUUACUGACCUUAGCCAAACUCCGAAUGCCGGUAAGUGAGAGCGCGGCAGUGAGACUGUGGGGGAUAAGCUCCAUGGUCGAGAGGGAAACAGCCCAGAGCAUCGACUAAGGCCCCUAAGCGUACGCUAAGUGGGAAAGGAUGUGGAGUCGCACAGACAACCAGGAGGUUGGCUUAGAAGCAGCCACCCUUGAAAGAGUGCGUAAUAGCUCACUGGUCUAGUGAUUCCGCGCCGACAAUGUAGCGGGGCUCAAGCGUACCGCCGAAGUCGUGUCAUUGCAGCAAUACGGCCAACGCCGGCUGUGAUGGGUAGGGGAGCGUCGUGUGCCGGGUGAAGCAGCCGCGGAAGCGAGUUGUGGACGGUUCACGAGUGAGAAUGCAGGCAUGAGUAGCGAUACAAACGUGAGAAACGUUUGCGCCGAUUGACUAAGGGUUCCUGGGUCAAGCUGAUCUGCCCAGGGUAAGUCGGGACCUAAGGCGAGGCCGACAGGCGUAGUCGAUGGAUAACCGGUUGAUAUUCCGGUACCCGCUGUGAAGCGUCAAACAUCGAGCAUCGUGAUGCUAAGGCCGUGAAGCCGUUCCGGACCCUUCGGGGAAAGGAAAGUGGUGGAGCCGCCGGACCAAGCGGUUAGUAGGUGAGUGAUGGGGUGACGCAGGAAGGUAGUCCAUCCCGGGCGGUGGUUGUCCCGGGGUAAGGGUGUAGGCCGUGCGGUAGGUAAAUCCGUCGCACAUGUGGCUGAGACCUGAUGCCGAGCCGAUUGUGGUGAAGUGGAUGAUCCUAUGCUGUCGAGAAAAGCCUCUAGCGAGUUUCAUGGCGGCCCGUACCCUAAACCGACUCAGGUGGUCAGGUAGAGAAUACCGAGGCGUUCGGGUGAACUAUGGUUAAGGAACUCGGCAAAAUGCCCCCGUAACUUCGGGAGAAGGGGGGCCAUUCCUGGUGAUGAGAUUUUCUCUCUGAGCUGGGGGUGGCCGCAGAGACCAGCGAGAAGCGACUGUUUACUAAAAACACAGGUCCGUGCGAAGCCGUAAGGCGAUGUAUACGGACUGACGCCUGCCCGGUGCUGGAACGUUAAGGGGACCGGUUAGCUCCAUUUCGGUGGGGCGAAGCUGAGAACUUAAGCGCCAGUAAACGGCGGUGGUAACUAUAACCAUCCUAAGGUAGCGAAAUUCCUUGUCGGGUAAGUUCCGACCUGCACGAAUGGCGUAACGACUUCUCGACUGUCUCAACCAUAGGCCCGGUGAAAUUGCACUACGAGUAAAGAUGCUCGUUUCGCGCAGCAGGACGGAAAGACCCCGGGACCUUUACUACAGUUUGAUAUUGGUGUUCGGUUCGGCUUGUGUAGGAUAGCUGGGAGACUGUGAACUCUGGACGCCAGUUCAGGGGGAGUCGUCGUUGAAAUACCAGUCUGGUCGUGCUGGAUGUCUAACCUGGGUCCGUGAUCCGGAUCAGGGACAGUGUCUGAUGGGUAGUUUAACUGGGGCGGUUGCCUCCUAAAGAGUAACGGAGGCGCCCAAAGGUUCCCUCAGCCUGGUUGGCAAUCAGGUGUUGAGUGUAAGUGCACAAGGGAGCUUGACUGUGAGACCGACGGGUCGAGCAGGGACGAAAGUCGGGACUAGUGAUCCGGCGGUGGCUUGUGGAAGCGCCGUCGCUCAACGGAUAAAAGGUACCCCGGGGAUAACAGGCUGAUCUUCCCCAAGAGUCCAUAUCGACGGGAUGGUUUGGCACCUCGAUGUCGGCUCGUCGCAUCCUGGGGCUGGAGUCGGUCCCAAGGGUUGGGCUGUUCGCCCAUUAAAGCGGUACGCGAGCUGGGUUUAGAACGUCGUGAGACAGUUCGGUCCCUAUCCGCUGUGCGCGUAGGAGUCUUGAGAAGGGCUGUCCCUAGUACGAGAGGACCGGGACGGACGAACCUCUGGUGUGCCAGUUGUCCUGCCAAGGGCAUGGCUGGUUGGCUACGUUCGGGAGGGAUAACCGCUGAAAGCAUCUAAGCGGGAAGCCUGCUUCGAGAUGAGGACUCCCACCCCCUUGAGGGGUUAAGGCUCCCAGUAGACGACUGGGUUGAUAGGCCGGAUCUGGAAGCACCGCAAGGUGUGGAGGUGACCGGUACUAAUAGGCCGAGGGCUUGUCCUCAGUUG